CGAAAGCCUGACGGAGCAACGCCGCGUGAGGGAUGAAGGCCUCUGGGCUGUAAACCUCUUUUCUCAAGGAAGAAGAUCUGACGGUACUUGAGGAAUAAGCCACGGCUAAUUCCGUGCCAGCAGCCGCGGUAAUACGGGAGUGGCGAGCGUUAUCCGGAAUUAUUGGGCGUAAAGCGUCCGCAGGCGGCCUUUCAAGUCUGCUGUUAAAGCGUGGAGCUUAACUCCAUCAUGGCAGUGGAAACUGUUUGGCUUGAGUGUGGUAGGGGCAGAGGGAAUUCCCGGUGUAGCGGUGAAAUGCGUAGAUAUCGGGAAGAACACCAGUGGCGAAGGCGCUCUGCUGGGCCAUAACUGACGCUCAUGGACGAAAGCCAGGGGAGCG
rnacentral:rRNA from 1 species